GCCGCGCCGCUGCGCGGGGAAGACGCUGCCGCCCACCGCGCCGCCGAGCCCGACGGCCUCACGCUCGUUCCGCAUCGUUCUGUGUUGUCAACUACAGCAGCAGAUGACCCGACUCACUUGUCGGAUGAGAAUAUCGGGACUUGUUUAAGCGGUUCGUUAGAGCUUGCCCUGGGCGGCUCCCGCGUCCCUCCCUCCCCCCUCGCCUCUCGCUCGGGACUUUGGCUCUCUCCUGUAUCGCUUUUCCCCUUUCCUCUUCUGUGUCCUCGUUUGCUCCGAUGUUUGGUGUUAACGCCCCUAAUUAGCAGUGUCGUUGCGCUCUCUGCUGGGCAGCCUUAGAGGCCGCGCGGUACUGCACGGCGCUUCGGGAUAUUCUUACUGUCUAGUGUGACGUGUUUGCACUUUAACUGCCUCUUUACACUUCGUUCCGUAUCCCUAUCCGCUGACGCCUAUAGCCUGAAGUGUUCUGCUCCUGUUAACGAAUGAAAUUCCAUGACAGUGCUAUGUGAAGAACACAUGUGCGUCCAUUGCGUCCUCUGGAGCCAAAGCUCCGUUUCGCAGCUGUCUGUGUGUGGAUGCCCUUUGCUGAAGGGAGGCAAACCCGGGCCCUGCUGUCAGCGUUAACGUUGGGGUGGAAGGCGCUAGGUGUGAGUGUGCUUUCGGUUGCAGUUUGCUAUACCGAGGCUUUCUGUCUUUCAUUCUUUUCGUGACAUGUUUUUUCCCCUGACAUGUUAAACUCGUGUUCUCCUGUGGACAUCAGGGGUUCUGAAUAAUACUCUUCAUAGUUUUCAGGAUCUGCUGUUUUCCUGAUAGCCUGUGUGCUCACUGAGUCGAGUGAGAUUGUCCUUGUUGGAGAAACGUUGCUCAAAUAGGCUUGCUCGAUUGUCUUUGUCCCAAAAAGAGACAGGAGCGAGCCUUUAGCUUUCUUUAUUCAGAUAAAGGGAGAGUCCACUAGGGUAUACCCCUGUGGGGGCUCUCAGAGUACCUGACUUUGCAAAUUCCCUUUUAUCUUCACUUCCCAAUCAGUGUCCCUUCCUCCUUUCCUCAUUGGCUGCAGUACUCAGAGGAUACAGACUUCCUUGUUCCCCUAGUACACGUUUUCCCUUGUAUGUGACCUAUGAAGCCUGCGCAGUAAGUCCAAAGUUCCUAAGUUCAAGUUGUUACAGACCUUUGUAACUAAAACCUUACUUGCUAAGUGUGUACAGGACUAGCAGAAAGGAAUUGGCACACUUACACACAACAACUUGUGAGCAAGGACAUCUCAUUCGUGAGCCUCUGCAUACAUGAUUUUAUUUGCAAGGGCAUCUUCAGGCUUCUUUUAUCUCAGUCCUGAGCAGAA
rnacentral:lncRNA from 1 species